CCUACGGGGGGCAGCAGUGAGGAAUAUUGGUCAAUGGACGCAAGUCUGAACCAGCCAAGUAGCGUGCAGGAUGACGGCCCUCCGGGUUGUAAACUGCUUUUAGUUGGGAAUAAAAGGGGGCUCGUGAGCCCCGUAUUGUAUGUACUAUCAGAAAAAGGACCGGCUAAUUCCGUGCCAGCAGCCGCGGUAAUACGGAGGGUCCGGGCGUUAUCCGGAAUGACGGGGGGUAAAGGGUGCGUAGGUGGUUUGGCAAGUUAGUAGCGUAACUCCAAGGCUCAACCUUGGAACUACUACUAAAACUGGUGGACUUGAGUACAGGAGGGGCAACCGGAAUUCCUAGUGUAGCGGUGGAAUGCGUAGAUAUUAGGAGGAACACCAGUGGCGAAGGCAGGUUGCUAGACUGUAACUGACACUGAGGCACGAAAGCGUGGGGAGCAAACAGGAUUAGAUACCCGUGUAGUC
rnacentral:rRNA from 1 species